GUGUUUGCUUCAGCAACACAUAAACUAAAAUUGAAACGAUACAGAAAUAAUUAUCAUGCACAAGAAUUUUUUAUAUUUGUGAAGCUUUCCAUAUUUUU
ensembl:snRNA U6 U6 spliceosomal RNA